UGUACAGAGUACACGCCAGAAAACCUUUGGCUUUCAAAACGUAGAUCAUUUAAUUGCGCUUCUGAAUUCAAUAAAACCAUUCCGUGAUGAGCAACAGUUUUGAGAAAUAAACCUAAAACUUUUCAGUAACAAGCACUAUUUGCGGUGGCAGGAUUCAGGAAACUGACAAUCGUUGUUCCUGUCACCCACUAGAGCUCGUCGUCUAAAUCUGUAUUUUUCUCCUUAUUGUGAAAUCCUACGGUAAUAAUCGUCCUUGUGGCAGCCUAGAAAACAAACGGUAGGCUUUGUGGAGUGGAGGGAGACAACGAGCUAAACAGCAGAUUGGUAGCAGUAGCUGUCUGCUAAGAGAAACUUUUCUUUGGGGCCCUGGAGAGAAACCAUGUGAGUCGUCAGCUUCCUCUUCCUAUGUAGAAAAAGCGCCGAGAUAAAACCAAAUGUUGAUAAUAAAAAAAACACACCUACCGAAACAAGUCUCCCGCUCGAUUACCGAGCGAAACGGUAAAAAUCUAACGUCGAUGCCACCGUGUUACAACGUUACAAGCUCACGGGGAGAGCAGGAAAAGUCGCUUAUUGAGACCGGGAGUCUAUGGAUUCGGAAGACGAGCUGGGCCGUCUCCUUGGCUGACGGUAAUUUGGGGAGAGGGAUGAAAUGGGCGGCUUUAGAGAACCUGUCCACCACCGUAAGGAUGGAUGUGUGCCAUCUAACAGAGGGAGCCCAGUGACAAAAUUCAGGGAAAUAUGGGACCUGGGGCGAUGAGGAACAGGGAGUGGCAUGAAGGAGGCCAGACGAAGCUUGCCGCGGAGUCUUAUUUUGAGCACAAACCGUGCAUACGGGGACGAAAGCCGAGACGUCCGGAACCAUAGUGGGCCACCAGAAUCGUUGUCGGAGGAAGGCAAGAGUUCGCCGGGAGACAGGAUGACAAGUUGUCUGCUUGAAAUUGUUUGAUUUGAUGGGGAAGCUGAAAGAACGGAAUAAAAACUUCAAAACACACCGGGGGACUCUCCAAUCCAAAUACUUUUAGAAAAGUUUGAACGAAACCCCCCCCAAAAUACUGUGCUGUUACUGUGAGCUCUGACCCUUCUAGCCACUGUGUCAGUAUCGACCGCUCUGUCCCCUGGAUCCACACUUUCCACCAGGGGUUCAACAUCCAUGUCCCCAUGGAGAGGUGCUGGUGGCCCUGCAGAGAGGAGGGGUCCGACCGCCUCUGGACCUUUGUGUCGUCCCACCACACAGUGCUGGUGGGACGACAUCAACCGUGCCGGGACGGAGUGGUAAGUCCCUGUUGCCAUCUCUGGCCCUAUGUGUCUCUCUUUGACCUUUGUCCCUCUUUGACCCCUGUGACUUCUGGGCAUUGACCUCUGUGACCUUUGGGCUUUCUGUGCCCUGAUCCAAGUCUAGAAUGUUGAAUGUUUAUGGCAUCUGAGGGCUCUGUCCGUCUGAGGGCUCUGUCCGUCUGAGGGCUCUGUCCGUCUGAGGGCUCUGUCCGUCUGAAGGCUCUGUCCAUCUGAAGGCUCUGUCCGUCUGAGGGCUCUGUCCGUCUGAAGGCUCUGUCCGUCUGAGGGCUCUGUCCGUCUGAAGGCUCUGUCCGUCUGAAGGCUCUGUCCGUCUGAGGGCUCUGUCCAUCUGAAGGCUCUGUCCGUCUGAAGGCUCUGUCCGUCUGAGGGCUCUGUCCGUCUGAAGGCUCUGUCCGUCUGAGGGCUCUGUCCGUCUGAAGGCUCUGUCCGUUUGCAUCUCCAGUUGUCUGUAAUCUCUAUAGAUGUGGAGGUUUCCUGGGUUGUGUAUCUCUCAUUUCUCUAGAUGUGUGGUACUGUUUGCUGGAGGCAAGGCAGGGUUCGCUCUCUAUACCCUCUGUAGUUGUUGCUUUGUGAGGUUGUUGUUGCUCUGAGGUUGUUGUUGCUCUGAGGUUGUUGUUGCUCUGAGGUUGCUGGUGACUCUACUGCUGGUGACUCUACUGCUGGUGACUCUACUGCUGGUGGCUCUACCGCUGGUGGCUCUACCGCUGGUGGUUCUACCGCUGGUGACUCUACUGCUGGUGACUCUACUGCUGGUGACUCUACUGCUGGUGGCUCUACUGCUGGUGGCUCUACUGCUGGUGACUCUACUGCUGGUGACUCUACUGCUGGUGACUCUACUGGUUCU